UACGGGGGGGAGCAAGCGUUGUUCGGAUUUACUGGGCGUAAAGGGCGCGUAGGCGGUCAGCACAAGUCAGUUGUGAAAUCUCCGGGCUUAACUCGGAAAGGUCAACUGAUACUGUGCGACUAGAGUGCGGAAGGGGCAACUGGAAUUCUCGGUGUAGCGGUGAAAUGCGUAGAUAUCGAGAGGAACACCUGCGGCGAAGGCGGGUUGCUGGGCCGACACUGACGCUGAUGCGCGAAAGCCAGGGGAGCGAAGCGGG
rnacentral:rRNA from 1 species